rnacentral:rRNA from 6 species
UGCAGAAUCCCGUGAACCAUCGAGUUUUUGAACGCAAGUUGCGCCCGAAGCCAUCCGGUUGAGGGCACGUCUGCCUGGGCGUCACGC